rnacentral:rRNA from 1 species
UACGUAGGGUGCAAGCGUUAAUCGGAAUUACUGGGCGUAAAGCGCGCGCAGGCGGUCCUUUAAGUCUGAUGUGAAAGCCCACGGCUCAACCGUGGAGGGUCAUUGGAAACUGGGGGACUUGAGUACAGAAGAGAAGAGUGGAAUUCCACGUGUAGCGGUGAAAUGCGUAGAGAUGCGGAGGAACACCAGUGGCGAAGGCGACUCUUUGGUCUGUAACUGACGCUGAGGCGCGAAAGCGUGGGGAGCAAACAGG